rnacentral:pre_miRNA from 1 species
AAAAAGACAAACCCUGGUUUCCGUGUCCAACGUUUGACCGUUCGUCUUAUUUAAAAAAAUUAUGAAAAAAAUUAAAAAGACAAGUCACGCAUAAAAUAUUAAUCAUGUUUUACCAUCUAACAACAAUGAAAAUACGAAUUAUAAAAAAAUUUCAUAUAAAACGGACAGUCAAAGUUGGACACGGAAACCCAGGGUUUGUCUUUUU